rnacentral:rRNA from 1 species
GAUGAACGCUAGCUACAGGCUUAACACAUGCAAGUCGAGGGGAAACGACAUCGAAAGCUUGCUUUUGAUGGGCGUCGACCGGCGCACGGGUGAGUAACGCGUAUCCAACCUGCCCAUCAAUUGGGAAUAACCUUGCGAAAGUAAGACUAAUACCCAAUGAUAUCCCACGAAGGCAUCGGAAUGGGAUUAAAGAUUUAUCGGUGAUGGAUGGGGAUGCGUCUGAUUAGCUUGUUGGCGGGGUAACGGCCCACCAAGGCAACGAUCAGUAGGGGUUCUGAGAGGAAGGUCCCCCACAUUGGAACUGAGACACGGUCCAAACUCCUACGGGAGGCAGCAGUGAGGAGUAUUGGUCAAUGGGCGAGAGCCUGAACCAGCCAAGUAGCGUGCAGGAAGACGGCCCUAUGGGUUGUAAACUGCUUUUAUAAGGGAAUAAAGUGGGUCACGUGUGACUUUUUGCAUGUACCUUAUGAAUAAGGACCGGCUAAUUCCGUG